GAGCCCUUGCGGAUGAUCUCGCCUCCCGCCCCCGCCUUCCGGGGUCACGGACUCGGACGCACGCGCGGGGUGGUUCUCUAGGAGCCUGGGCUCAGGGGUCUUUGGAGCUCGGGUCAGGGCUGUCUGGGGCCCUGGCGUCUGCUGAAGGCCCGGAGCCUCGCUCCCUCCCGGGGACCCCGGGUUGCGCGGGCGCGGCUGCUCAGGGACCGUCAGGACGUCUUCAGGCCCAGGCGCUGUGCGCCGCUCUGGGGUGUGAGGGCCGCUGAGGGCCGGCAGUCGUGGGGCUGCUGGAGGAUGACCCGGAGCUCUGGCGUGGCCCUAGACCUGGGAAUGAACAGCCAGGCGCAGCAGCAGGCGUUUCUCUUGCUUUUUCUUUAUGACUGACCUGGCCUGGCCACGUCCCCGUCAAUGCAGCUGGUUCUCAACGGACCCACUCUUCCCCACCGCUCCGUUUACAACCAACCUGCUUGUCCUGCUGCACUUAGGCAGACCUGCUCCUCCUGAGAAUCCAGGAGGGAAUUGAAGAGACCACAUUGCUUUCUGAUCUUUCUCAGGCCAGAGGAAGUUUGUGGGCCAAGUGAUAUUCCUAAUUCAAACUUUAUUAUGUAAUUAUAGUACAAAACAUAUUAUUUUUCUCUUUAUUUUUCCUCUCUCGGUUAAUGGUAAAUUUUAUUGCAUAAAUAAAUUACACAUGCUGUAAUUCAUGCCUCGCAGCCUACACACCAAUUAAACCCGAAGCUGACACAGUCCACGCACAAUUACAUGGAAUCUGCAAAGUGAAAGGAUCAUGUAUUUGCGCUGCGGUAAUAGGCAGAGCCAUUUAGCGACGUGACGGCUGUAAGUGCGGGGUAAGCGGAGUCUGUGCUCGGGGGUGAUUGAUGGACCCUGCGAGAGGCGUCGGGACAGUGCAUUGCCUCACAUCGAGCUGGGCAGAGUGUACAGGACAUCACACGUCCCAGGACUCACAAGCAACACCCUCGGAGUGUCCCGACGGGCAGGAGG